GAACGGGGAGCAGCCCAGAGCCUGAAUCAGUGUGUGUGUUAGUGGAAGCGUCUGGAAAGGCGCGCGAUACAGGGUGACAGCCCCGUACACAAAAAUGCACAUGCUGUGAGCUCGAUGAGUAGGGCGGGACACGUGGUAUCCUGUCUGAAUAUGGGGGGACCAUCCUCCAAGGCUAAAUACUCCUGACUGACCGAUAGUGAACCAGUACCGUGAGGGAAAGGCGAAAAGAACCCCGGCGAGGGGAGUGAAAAAGAACCUGAAACCGUGUACGUACAAGCAGUGGGAGCACGCUUAGGCGUGUGACUGCGUACCUUUUGUAUAAUGGGUCAGCGACUUAUAUUCUGUAGCAAGGUUAACCGAAUAGGGGAGCCGAAGGGAAACCGAGUCUUAACUGGGCGUUAAGUUGCAGGGUAUAGACCCGAAACCCGGUGAUCUAGCCAUGGGCAGGUUGAAGGUUGGGUAACACUAACUGGAGGACCGAACCGACUAAUGUUGAAAAAUUAGCGGAUGACUUGUGGCUGGGGGUGAAAGGCCAAUCAAACCGGGAGAUAGCUGGUUCUCCCCGAAAGCUAUUUAGGUAGCGCCUCGUGAAUUCAUCUCCGGGGGUAGAGCACUGUUUCGGCAAGGGGGUCAUCCCGACUUACCAACCCGAUGCAAACUGCGAAUACCGGAGAAUGUUAUCACGGGAGACACACGGCGGGUGCUAACGUCCGUCGUGAAGAGGGAAACAACCCAGACCGCCAGCUAAGGUCCCAAAGUCAUGGUUAAGUGGGAAACGAUGUGGGAAGGCCCAGACAGCCAGGAUGUUGGCUUAGAAGCAGCCAUCAUUUAAAGAAAGCGUAAUAGCUCACUGGUCGAGUCGGCCUGCGCGGAAGAUGUAACGGGGCUAAACCAUGCACCGAAGCUGCGGCAGCGACGCUGAUGCGUUGUUGGGUAGGGGAGCGUUCUGUAAGCCUGCGAAGGUGUGCUGU
rnacentral:rRNA from 1 species